UACGGAGGAUCCAAGCGUUAUCCGGAUUUAUUGGGUUUAAAGGGUGCGUAGGCGGCUUAUUAAGUCAGGGGUGAAAGACGGUGGCUCAACCAUCGCAGUGCCUUUGAUACUGAUGAGCUUGAAUACACUUGAGGUAGGCGGAAUGUGACAAGUAGCGGUGAAAUGCAUAGAUAUGUCGCAGAACACCAAUUGCGAAGGCAGCUUACUAAGGUGCAAUUGACGCUGAGGCACGAAAGCGUGGGGAUCAAACAGG
rnacentral:rRNA from 1 species